UACGUAGGGUGCAAGCGUUAAUCGGAAUUACUGGGCGUAAAGCGUGCGCAGGCGGCUUUGUAAGACAGGUGUGAAAUCCCCGGGCUUAACCUGGGAACUGCAUUUGUGACUGCAUCGCUGGAGUGCGGCAGAGGGGGGGGAUGGAAUUCCGCGUGUAGCAGUGAAAUGCGUAGAUAUGCGGAGGAACACCGAUGGCGAAGGCAAUCCCCCUGGGCCUGCACUGACGCUCAUGCACGAAAGCGUGGGGAGCAACAGG
rnacentral:rRNA from 1 species